rnacentral:lncRNA from 1 species
UUGGAUUUAACCUAUGCAGACAAUUUAGCUAAUCAUCUGGACAAUCCUAUUUGCUAAUGGGCAUUCUCUAAGUCGACAGUCCAUGUAAAGUUAUGACUCUUUCCCUUUUCAAGGAAGUCUAGUGUCGGCACACACUACAAGGUGGUGUUAUGACCUCCAAGAAGUUAGUAUAAUAACUUUCUUGUCAAUAGCUAGCUAUGUAAGUAUAACAUCAACCUUUCUUACCAAUCACAUGUGGUCGCUAACCUUUUCUACUAACAUCCACAACACUUAAACUCUCGUUCUUUUGGUUAUAUAUUCUCGCUUCUUGAAUCAAAGAUUUCCUUAUUUUUGAAUAAGAGAUUUGCUUUUGCAGGGGAGAAGCAGCCGUGGAAAGCACAUCUCAAGUUUUCACGACUUCAUCAACGGGGAACACUUCUUUGCUUUGCAACGGGAAUGCUACCAUCAGGACGAGAGGUCACUGGCAUGCACAUUUUGAAUACAAGCCUUACACUUCUUACUAUAAUUUUAUGUGCUCCAUUAUCCAAGUAAUUAUGCUAGGCAUUAAUCAAUUCUCUUACAGGGGUUCUAUCUAUUUUAUCAACAUGAAUAUCUGUGAAUUCAGACAACAUUGCCCUGAACUCAUCCCCAGAGAGGGUUUCCUUUUCUAGCAGCACCUCCAC